CCUACGGGAGGCAGCAGUGAGGAAUAUUGGUCAAUGGACGAGAGUCUGAACCAGCCAAGUAGCGUGAAGGAUGACUGCCCUAUGGGUUGUAAACUUCUUUUAUAUGGGAAUAAAAUGUUCCACGUUUGGGAUUUUGUAUGUACCAUAUGAAUAAGGAUCGGCUAACUCCGUGCCAGCAGCCGCGGUAAUACGGAGGAUCCGAGCGUUAUCCGGAUUUCUUGGGUUUAAAGGGAGCGUAGGUGGAUUGUUAAGUCAGUUGUGAAAGUUUGCGGCUCAACCGUAAAAUUGCAGUUGAAACUGGCAGUCUUGAGUACAGUAGAGGUGGGCGGAAUGCGUGGUGUAGCGGUGAAAUGCUUAGAUAUCACGAAGAACUCCGAUUGCGAAGGCAGCUCACUGGACUGCAACUGACACUGAGGCUCGAAAGUGUGGGUAUCAAACAGGAUUAGAUACCCCUGUAGUC
rnacentral:rRNA from 1 species